rnacentral:rRNA from 1 species
AUUGAACGCUGGCGGCAGGCCUAACACAUGCAAGUCGAACGGUAACAGAGAGUAGCUUGCUACUUUGCUGACGAGUGGCGGACGGGUGAGUAAUGUCUGGGGAUCUGCCUGAUGGAGGGGGAUAACUACUGGAAACGGUAGCUAAUACCGCAUAAUGUCGCAAGACCAAAGCGGGGGACUUUCGGGCCUCGCACCAUCAGAUGAACCCAGAUGGGAUUAGCUAGUAGGUAGGGUAAUGGUUUACCUAGGCGACGAUCCCUAGCUGGUCUGAGAGAAUGACCAGCCACACUGGAACGGAGACACGGUCCAGACUCCUACGGGAGGCAGCAGUGGGGAAUAUUGCACAAUGGGCGCAAGCCUGAUGCAGCCAUGCCGCGUGUAUGAAGAAGGCCUUCGGGUUGUAAAGUACUUUCAGUCAGGAGGAAGGGUGUGAAAUUAAUACUUUCAUGCAUUGACGUUACUGACAGAAGAAGCCCGGCUAACUCCGUGCCAGCCGCCGCAGUAA